UACGUAGGGACCAAGCGUUGUUCGGAUUUACUGGGCGUAAAGGGCGCGUAGGCGGCUUUGUAAGUCACUUGUGAAAUCUCCGGGCUUAACUCGGAACGGUCAAGUGAUACUGCAAUGCUAGAGUGCAGAAGGGGCAAUCGGAAUUCUUGGUGUAGCGGUGAAAUGCGUAGAUAUCAAGAGGAACACCUGAGGUGAAGACGGGUUGCUGGGCUGACACUGACGCUGAGGCGCGAAAGCCAGGGAGCAAACGGG
rnacentral:rRNA from 1 species